rnacentral:lncRNA from 1 species
AUGCAGGUAUCACACAGGACGGGCCUUAUCAAAACCAGGGGAUGCAUGUAUUCCUCCCAGAGACCAUGGGGCUAUAUAGACCGCCAGCAAGGGCUGCAACCAGCAGCACCCGGUACACACCGCUUCGACCCGCUACAGCUCCCCCCUCCAGCACCGCUACCACCCCGCUCCGUCGGGGCCAACGCAUCCCUCACCACCCGGCUUUACCUUGGCAGGCGACGGCAGCCGCCGGCUCCCGGAGGCGCUGCGAGCAGCAGGCGAGGCGGGCUGGGCUCCGCGGCACCGCCUGGGGGGAAAUGGGGCCGGCCCGCCGGCUGUCGGGCUUCCCGGGGCGGCCACCUCAGCGGGAGCCGCCCCGGGGCUCACAGCGCCGCCCUCCGCCUUCAGCCGCCGGGGGCAGCCGUCCCGCAGAGCCCGGGUCCGGCUCCCCUCACGGGGACACGCGGGGACUCCCCGCUGGAGGCGGCCCCGAGGGCUGUGGUGAGCCGAGGUCCCCGCUGGAGGGUGGGGGGGACCCACAAAAUGGAGCCUGAAAGCCCAGGCGGGAGGUGUCGCGUUUCCCGCUCCUCUCCUGCCCCUCGUCACCUCACGGCUAGGCCGGGCGGUUCUCAGACAGAAAGCUAUGACAGAUCAGCAUCGUUCUCCCUAAGAGGAACAGUGAAGAUGAGAAGAGCACAAGGAAAAGAAAAGCAAGGAGAAAACAGUGCAGAGGCUAGGUUGCAUCGUUUUGCACAAGCAUUUGCUUUUCUGUAACUGCAUGCCAACAGGAGGCUCUGUGGUUUACGCCCUCCGUGGCCUGUAGUUGGUGCUGGACUGCAACCAAAUGUCUGUGAGCCAUGCAAGAGCCAAGCUGAGACUUUCCUUCCACUGUUCAGAGGAAUGAUAUCACCCCACCUUUGGCUGCAUGCAUCACUUUUACUCAAGACUAGCAUCUCACAUGAUUCACAAGAGCAUAAGACA